rnacentral:rRNA from 1 species
AGGCAGCAGGCGCGAAAAUUAUCCAAUCCUAACUCAGGGAGGUAGUGACAAGAAAUAACAACGCGGGGCAAAGUCUCGUGAUUGGAAUGAGGACAAUGUAAAAGCCUUAUCGAGGAUCCACUGGAGGGCAAGUCUGGUGCCAGCAGCCGCGGUAAUACCAGCUCCAGUAGCGUAUAUUAAAGUUGUUGCAGUUAAAAAGCUCGUAGUUGGAUUUCUGGU